GGUGGAAAGAUGUGCUGUGAUGUUGUCCUUUGGAUUGAACUUAUAACAGAACUUUUAGGCAGGGGUUUGGCUCAGAGCGAAAGGGAGCAAGGCAUACCUCUUUUUUGAAAACCAUCGAUCGAGGUCGCAAUACCCGUUACUCCAACUCCUAUCCUUAGAAA